rnacentral:rRNA from 1 species
GGUGAGAGGAGGUGCAUGGCCGUCGUCAGUUCGUACUGUGAAGCAUCCUGUUAAGUCAGGCAACGAGCGAGACCCACGCCAACAGUUGCCAGCAUAAUCUCCGGAUUGAUGGGGACACUGUUGGGACCGCCUCUGCUAAAGGGGAGGAAGGAAUGGGCAACGGUAGGUCAGCAUGCCCCGAAUUAUCCGGGCUACACGCGGGCUACAAUGGAUGGGACAAUGGGUUUCGACACCGAAAGGUGAAGGUAAUCUCCUAACCCCACCCGUAGUUCCGAUUGCGGGCCCAACUCGCCCGCAUAUAGGAA